rnacentral:rRNA from 1 species
UACGUAGGGGGCUAGCGUUGUCCGGAAUCAUUGGGCGUAAAGCGCGCGUAGGCGGCCAGAUAAGUCCGGUGUGAAAGUCACAGGCUCAACCUGUGAAUGCCGCUGGAAACUGUCUGGCUAGAGUCCGGAAGGGGCGAGUGGAAUUCCUGGUGUAGCGGUGAAAUGCGCAGAUAUCAGGAGGAACACCGGUGGCGAAGGCGGAUCUCUGGGCCGGUACUGACGCUGAGACGCGAAAGCGUGGGGAGCGAACAGG